rnacentral:tRNA from 1 species
GGGGUUGUGGCUCAGCGGUAGAGCACACGCCUAGUAUGUGUGAGGCCCUGGGUUCCAUCCUCAGCACCACA